UACGUAGGGUGCGAGCGUUGUCCGGAAUUAUUGGGCGUAAAGGGUCCUGAGGUGGCUAGCCAAGUCUAUUGUGAAAUAUCAGGGCUUAACCCUGAACAUGCGGUGGAAACUAGAAAGCUUGAGUACAGUAGGGGCGGAGGGAAUUUCCGGUGGAGCGGUGAAAUGCAUAGAUAUCGGGAAGAACACCAACGGCGAAAGCACUCCGCUGGGCUGAUACUGACACUGACAGACGAAAGCUAGGGUAGGCGAAAGGG
rnacentral:rRNA from 1 species